UGCCCGGAGAUGGACACUGAGACAAGGGUCCAGGCCCUAAGGGGCGCAGCAACCGCGAAACCUCCACAAUGCACUCACGUGCGAUGGGGCUAUCUCGAGUGCCACCUGAUGAAGGUGGCUUUUCCUAGGUCUUCAAAGCCUUGGGAAUAAGAGGGGGGCAAGACUGGUGUCAGCCGCCGCGGUAACACCAGCCCCUCGAGUGGUGGGGAUGAUUAUUUGGCCUAAAGCGUCCGUAGCCGGCCGAGCAAGUCUUCCGUUAAAUCCAGCGUCUCAAGCGUUGGACUGCGGGAGAUACUACACGGCUAGAGAGUGGGAGAGGUCAGCGGUAUUCUGGGGGUAGGGGCGAAAUCCUUUGAUCCCCGGAGGACCACCAGUGGCGAAGGCUGCUGACUAGAACACGUCUGACGGUCAGGGACGAAAGCUGGGGUAGCGAACCGGAUUAGAUACCCGGGUAGUCCCAGCCGUAAGCGAUGCAUGCUAGGUGUUGGGUUGGCCACGAGCCACCCCAGUGCCGCAGGGAAGCCGUUAAGCAUGCCGCCUGGGAAGUACGAUCGCAAGAUUGAAACUUAAAGGAAUUGGCGGGGGAGCACCACCAGGCGUGAAGCCUGCGGUUUAAUUG
rnacentral:rRNA from 1 species